AUUGAACGUUGGCGGAAUGCUUUACACAUGCAAGUCGAACGGCAGCACGGACUUCGGUCUGGUGGCGAGUGGCGAACGGGUGAGUAAUGUAUCGGAACGUGCCCAGUCGUGGGGGAUAACGUAGUGAAAAUUACGCUAAUACCGCAUACGAUCUAUGGAUGAAAGCGGGGGAUCGCAAGACCUCGCGCGAUUGGAGCGGCCGAUAUCAGAUUAGGUAGUUGGUGGGGUAAAGGCCCACCAAGCCAACGAUCUGUAGCUGGUCUGAGAGGACGACCAGCCCAACUGGAACUGGGACACGGGCCAGACUCCGACGGGAGGCAGCAGUGUGGAAUUUUGGACCAUGGGCGAAAGCCUGAUCCAGCCAUUCCGCGUGCAGGAUGAAGGCCUUCGGGUUGUAAACUGCUUUUGUACAGAACGAAAAGGUUUCUACUAAUACUAGGAGCUCAUGACGGUACUGUAAGAAUAAGCACCGGCUAACUACGUGCCAGCCGCCGCCGUAA
rnacentral:rRNA from 1 species